rnacentral:piRNA from 1 species
UAGAGCUAGGCAUGGUAUAAGCAUCU